rnacentral:rRNA from 1 species
UACAGAGGUGGCAAGCGUUGUUCGGAAUUACUGGGCGUAAAGGGCGCGUAGGCGGCUUGUACAGUCAGACGUGAAAUUCCUGGGCUCAACCUGGGGGCUGCGUUUGAUACGUGCGGGCUUGAGUUCGGAAGAGGGUCGUGGAAUUCCCAGUGUAGAGGUGAAAUUCGUAGAUAUUGGGAAGAACACCGGUGGCGAAGGCGGCGACCUGGUCCGAUACUGACGCUGAGGUGCGAAAGCGUGGGGAGCAAACAGG